rnacentral:rRNA from 1 species
GACGAACGCUGGCGGCGUGCCUAACACAUGCAAGUCGAGCGCCCCGCAAGGGGAGCGGCGGACGGGUGAGUAACGCGUGGGAACGUGCCCUUUGCUACGGAAUAGCCCCGGGAAACUGGGAGUAAUACCGUAUAAGCCCUACGGGGGAAAGAUUUAUCGGCAAAGGAUCGGCCCGCGUUGGAUUAGGUAGUUGGUGGGGUAAUGGCCUACCAAGCCGACGAUCCAUAGCUGGUUUGAGAGGAUGAUCAGCCACACUGGGACUGAGACACGGCCCAGACUCCUACGGGAGGCAGCAGUGGGGAAUCUUAGACAAUGGGCGCAAGCCUGAUCUAGCCAUGCCGCGUGAGCGAUGAAGGCCUUAGGGUUGUAAAGCUCUUUCGUGGGGGAAGAUAAUGACUGUACCCCAAGAAGAAGCCCCGGCUAACUCCGUGCCAGCCGCCGCCGUAAUAC